rnacentral:rRNA from 1 species
AUUGAACGCUGGCGGCAGGCCUAACACAUGCAAGUCGAGCGAGCGGCGGACGGGUGAGUAAUGUCUGGGGACUGCCCGAUAGAGGGGGAUAACUACUGGAAACGGUAGCUCAUACCGCAUACUAUCGGAUAACCCAUAUGGGAUUAGCUUGUAGGUGAGGUAAUGGCUCACCUAGGCGACGAUCCCUAGCUGGUCUGAGAGGAUGACCAGCCACACUGGGACUGAGACACGGCCCAGACUCCUACGGAGGCAGCAGUGGGGAAUAUUGCACAAUGGGCGCAAGCCUGAUACAGCCAUGCCGCGUGUAUGAAGAAGGCCCUAGGGUUGUAAAGUACUUUCAGUCGGGAGGCGUUACCGGCAGAAGAAGCACCGGCUAACUCCGUGCCAGCAGCCGCGGUAAUUC